rnacentral:rRNA from 1 species
CCUACGGGAGGCAGCAGUGAGGAAUAUUGGUCAAUGGGCGAGAGCCUGAACCAGCCAAGUCGCGUGAGGGAGUACUGCCCUAUGGGUUGUAAACCUCUUUUGUCGGGGAGCAAAAGCCGGACGUGUCCUGCUGUGAGAGUACCCGAAGAAAAAGCAUCGGCAAACUCCGUGCCAGCAGCCGCGGUAAUACGGAGGAUGCGAGCGUUAUCCGGAUUUAUUGGGUUUAAAGGGUGCGCAGGCGGAUUUUUAAGUCAGCGGUAAAAUCGUGGGGCUCAACCCCAUCCAGCCGUUGAAACUGGGGAUCUAGAGUGUGCGAGAGGUAUGCGGAAUGCGUGGUGUAGCGGUGAAAUGCAUAGAUAUCACGCAGAACCCCGAUUGCGAAGGCAGCAUACCGGUGCACAACUGACGCUCAGGCACGAAAGCGUGGGUAUCGAACAGGAUUAGAUACCCUUGUAGUC